ACAGUCACACAUUAGAUACCCGCGUAGUCCUGGCCGUAAACGAUGUGGACUUGGUGUUGGAAUGGCUCCGAGCUGCUCCAGUGCCGAAGGGAAGCUGUUAAGUCCACCGCCUGGGAAGUACGGUCGCAAGACUGAAACUUAAAGGAAUUGGCGGGGAGCACCACAACGGGUGGAGCCUGCGGUUUAAUUGGACUCAACGCCGGAAAUCUCACCGGAUAGGACAGACAUAUGAUAGUCGGGCUGAAGACUCUACUUGAUGAUCUG
rnacentral:rRNA from 1 species